CAGCGACGCCGCGUGAGGGAUGACGGCCUUCGGGUUGUAAACCUCUUUCAGUAGGGAAGAAGCGAAAGUGACGGUACCUGCAGAAGAAGCACCGGCUAACUACGUGCCAGCAGCCGCGGUAAUACGUAGGGUGCGAGCGUUAUCCGGAAUUAUUGGGCGUAAAGAGCUCGUAGGCGGUUUGUCGCGUCUGUCGUGAAAGUCCGGGGCUUAACCCCGGAUCUGCGGUGGGUACGGGCAGACUAGAGUGCAGUAGGGGAGACUGGAAUUCCUGGUGUAGCGGUGGAAUGCGCAGAUAUCAGGAGGAACACCGAUGGCGAAGGCAGGUCUCUGGGCUGUAACUGACGCUGAGGAGCGAAAGCAUGGGGAGCGAACAGGAUUAGAUACCCUGGUAGUCCAUGCCGUAAACGUUGGGCACUAGGUGUGGGGACCAUUCCACGGUUUCCGCGCCGCAGCUAACGCAUUAAGUGCCCCGCCUGGGGAGUACGGCCGCAAGGCUAAAACUCAAAGGAAUUGACGGGGGCCCGCACAAGCGGCGGAGCAUGCGGAUUAAUUCGAUGCAACGCGAAGAACCUUACCAAGGCUUGACAUGUUCUCGAUCGCCGUAGAGAUACGGUUUCCCCUUUGGGGCGGGUUCACAGGUGGUGCAUGGUUGUCGUCAGCUCGUGUCGUGAGAUGUUGGGUUAAGUCCCGCAACGAGCGCAACCCUCGUUCCAUGUUGCCAGCACGUUGUGGUGGGGACUCAUGGGAGACUGCCGGGGUCAACUCGGAGGAAGGUGGGGACGACGUCAAAUCAUCAUGCCCCUUAUGUCUUGGGCUUCACGCAUGCUACAAUGGCCGGUACAAUGGGUUGCGAUACUGUGAGGUGGAGCUAAUCCCAAAAAGCCGGUCUCAGUUCGGAUUGGGGUCUGCAACUCGACCCCAUGAAGUCGGAGUCGCUAGUAAUCGCAGAU
rnacentral:rRNA from 1 species